rnacentral:rRNA from 1 species
AUUGAACGCUGGCGGCAGGCCUAACACAUGCAAGUCGAGCGGAUGAAGGGAGCUUGCUCCUGGAUUCAGCGGCGGACGGGUGAGUAAUGCCUAGGAAUCUGCCUGGUAGUGGGGGAUAACGUCCGGAAACGGGCGCUAAUACCGCAUACGUCCUGAGGGAGAAAGUGGGGGAUCUUCGUACCUCACGCUAUCAGAUGAUCCUAGGUCGGAUUAGCUAGUUGGUGGGGUAAAGGCCUACCAAGGCGACGAUCCGUAACUGGUCUGAGAGGAUGAUCAGUCACACUGGAACUGAGACACGGUCCAGACUCCUACGGGAGGCAGCAGUGGGGAAUAUUGGACAAUGGGCGAAAGCCUGAUCCAGACAUGCCGCGUGUGUGAAGAAGGUCUUCGGAUUGUAAAGCACUUUAAGUUGGGAGGAAGGGCAGUAAGUUAAUACCGUGCUGUUUUGACGUUACCAACAGAAUAAGCACCGGCUAACUUCGUG